rnacentral:rRNA from 1 species
GAUGAACGCUGUCUACAGGCUUAACACAUGCAAGUCGAGGGGAAACGACGGGGAAGCUUGCUUCCCCGGGCGUCGACCGGCGCACGGGUGAGUAACGCGUAUCCAACCUGCCUCUGACUGAGGGAUAACCCGUCGAAAGUCGGCCUAAUACCUCAUGGCAUCGUCUGCGGGCAUCCAACGACGAUUAAAGAUUUCAUCGGUCAGGGAUGGGGAUGCGUCUGAUUAGCUUGUUGGCGGGGUAACGGCCCACCAAGGCUACGAUCAGUAGGGGUUCUGAGAGGAAGGUCCCCCACAUUGGAACUGAGACACGGUCCAAACUCCUACGGGAGGCAGCAGUGAGGAAUAUUGGUCAAUGGGCGGGAGCCUGAACCAGCCAAGUAGCGUGCAGGAGGACGGCCCUAUGGGUUGUAAACUGCUUUUAGGCGGGGAUAAAGUGAGGGACGUGUCCUUCAUUGCAGGUACCGCAUGAAUAAGGACCGGCUAAUUCCGUG